rnacentral:lncRNA from 1 species
AUCGUUGCAACAUACCAGCAAUUUCCAGAUUCUGAUCUUGAGGACAAGAUUGAAUUUUAAGGAGGGAGGAGAUGUUAUAUGCCUAACAUGUAGCUCAUCUUGUUUAAUGAUAAGCAUGGUAAAUAAGGAAGGCAAGGGUAUGUAUAUCUCAUGCAGAGUCGUGUAGGAGUAGUUAAUAAAGUCGUGUGUAUCGGGUUGACCAAGUCUUUG